rnacentral:rRNA from 1 species
GACGUAGGGCGCGAGCGUUGUCCGGAUUUAUUGGGCGUAAAGAGCUCGUAGGCGGCUUGUUGCGUCGACUGUGAAAACCUGCAGCUUAACUGUGGGCGUGCGGUCGAUACGGGCAUCACUGGAGUUCGGCAGGGGAGACUGGAAUUCCUGGUGUAGCGGUGAAAUGCGCAGAUAUCAGGAGGAACACCGGUGGCGAAGGCGGGUCUCUGGGCCGAUACUGACGCUGAGGAGCGAAAGCGUGGGGAGCGAACAGG